UACAGAGGUCCCAAGCGUUGUUCGGAUUCAUUGGGCGUAAAGGGUGCGUAGGCGGCGCGGUAAGUCGGGUGUGAAAUCUCGGGGCUUAACUCCGAAACUGCAUUCGAUACUGCCGUGCUUGAGGACUGGAGAGGAGACUGGAAUUUACGGUGUAGCGGUGAAAUGCGUAGAUAUCGUAAGGAAGACCAGUGGCGAAGGCGGGUCUCUGGGCAGUAACUGACGCUGAGGAGCGAAAGCGUGGGGAUCAAACAGG
rnacentral:rRNA from 1 species